rnacentral:lncRNA from 1 species
GCUUUGUCAAAGCCCUUUGACAUUCGUCGUGGGCCCCAACCUACGGUAAAAGCGCCUGUUACCUUUACACUAUCUUGGCUAAGAAAGUCAGAUCUCUAGUCUGAUAGUCCCGGUUCGUCUUUCCUUUAUUUACCCAGCUUUUACUUACUUUGCGAAGCUAGGAUUUACAUUCUAAGUUAGGCGGGAUGGUGCCCUUGGUAUACUACCGGGAACUGCUGUGAAACCAUCGAUCGCUCUAGCUACAACCGGCUUAACUGCUUGGGAAAGCUGAUACGACUUCUGAGUCGAAAGCAAGGACUUACUUUUAGGCUGACUGGAUGGGAUCGGCCCUAGUACCGAGAACUACGAAAGGGGAACUACACCGUCCGCCCACUAAUCCCUUCCCUCAUCCUUCACUUCCUUUCCUGAGUCAUCGUUUGCUAGUACCAGGGUUGGAUGCUUACUUCGCAUUCUUUCCUUAUUUAUUAUUGCCUCCACCUGAGAGUUCUCCCUCGUUCUAAGAGCUGCUCCUUCGAAGCGAGGAAGGGUAGAUAUUCGGAGUGCUGCCUGAUCGUGGACGGGUUCAUCGAUGCUGGGAACAAGACUGGCUAAGAGCUACUUUUGGCUAGCUAUAAGAGUGGGUCUUACCUCAGCAACUUUCCUUGACUACGAAAGCAUGCUCCCCCUUUUCAAUCUCCAUCCAGGAACAACGACCAUAUACGAGAAGGCAUCGAGGAGACCCUGAGUCCUUCAGACCAGUAAAUGAUUGCCUAGCUAGCGCAUAUCGAAGAGUUUGAGCAGUGGCCUUUGUUCACAUCCUGAUUGGGUUCCAUCUAGAGGAGAUACUCGUUAGGGCAAAGGAUGCAAUAGUUUUCAAAGUCCCAACAGUUACCAUCUUUGGUGCGUUAAGCGGAAGAGGGGGCAGGUGAAUCUUCAAACAAAGAUUGUCGCGCUAUUCCUUUCAUACUUGACUGGAAAUGGAAAGUGAAAUAGAUAAAACAAAGGGAUCAAUCAGUCGCACAGAAAACAAACCUUUUCUCUUGACUUACUAUGGAAAGUUUUCCACCAACCAUGAAGAGAAGUAGAAGUAGUGAAGCCAGAAGGCGAGGAGUAUAAGGCCGGGAACCAGAGCAGGCAUAAAUGACCUUGAUCGAAAGUGAGCCCUUAAGCAUGGAAAGUAAAAGGAUGCGAAGAGAGCGCCACUACUCUCUUUCCGGGAAAGAUCACUCCUAGGUUAGGCCGACAAGACAUCAAGAGGGAGAUAAAAAAAUCCCCUCUACCGCUACCCCAUAAAGAAGAGCUCGCUUCACUUGCUUACUAAAAAGCCAGGAGAGAAAGCCAAGCAUUUUUUUUAGUACAAAAAAGGAAGAAAUUGAUAUACGUCAGCCCUCACAUUAUUAGACUGAAGGAAAGACUCCUGCUUCAAGGUCCUUAGAUUAGACCACUGGCUUGUUUGGCCCGAAGGCAGAAUCAAAGCCAGAAGGAAUUACAGACAGAAGCACUUCUACUCCCCUCAAAUUGAGAUCGAAGAAAUGAUAGGUCCGCCUAUAACCCUAUGAGCUCGAGAGCAAGAAAAGAAGGAGGGAGGGACUACUUAGACUACUUAAUCGAUAGAGCCCGGCACGAUUACUGGAUCGAAAGCAGCUCCAACUCCAAUAGGUGGGAGGAAUGAGCCCCCUAAGCCUAAUCCAAUUCCAUAUACCUAUAUAUCACACCAGUUAUUUGAGAUUGUUCAAAAGACAGACCUGUCCCUUUCCCGACUCCUGCAAUUAGAUUGCUUCUUACUCUUAGUGGUAGUGUACGGUUUUAUCCUUCUUAGCCUAUUGGUUUCGCUUUCUGAGAUACAUAGUUUCCCUUCGACGAGGAAUCCUUUGGCUGACACCUUUCAAUGGAAUUCGUUUCCACCGCUUGACUUGCGCUCGCUACCGAAAAAGAAUUGUUUUACACAACGCUACCAGGCUUGGCUUACGUUCCCCAGAUGGGGAAUGGGUUACGAUAGGUUCUUCAAAAGCUUGCUAAACCCGAACUCACUCCCAGGGCUGGGGAUGAGAGUAGUUACGAAAAGACUCAUACCUUAACCGCUGUCCCUGAAGGAUAUGUUUGCCACUUAGAGCUUCACCGUCUCGCUUAACGAACGGGAGGAACAGAAAGAUAUUGACCUAAGAGCUAUCCCACUACCAAGGAAGAAUAGCCAGAGCCUGGAUUGAUUUGGUUUAUCACCGGAUCGUUGCGGCGGGAUGCACGCAAGCAAGAAGUUAGGUGGCUUAUUCCCUUCAAAAGAGCUAACACUAGUUACGCUUUCAUACAGGCAAGAACAGAGUG